CUCGUAGGCGGUUCGUCGCGUCCGGUGUGAAAGUCCGGGGCUCAACUCCGGAUCUGCGGUGGGUACGGGCAGACUAGAGUGAUGUAGGGGAGACUGGAAUUCCUGGUGUAGCGGUGAAAUGCGCAGAUAUCAGGAGGAACACCGAUGGCGAAGGCAGGUCUCUGGGCAUUAACUGACGCUGAGGAGCGAAAGCAUGGGGAGCGAACA
rnacentral:rRNA from 1 species